rnacentral:rRNA from 1 species
GGCUCACCUAGGCGACGAUCCCUAGCUGGUCUGAGAGGAUGACCAGCCACACUGGAACUGAGACACGGUCCAGACUCCUACGGGAGGCAGCAGUGGGGAAUAUUGCACAAUGGGCGCAAGCCUGAUGCAGCCAUGCCGCGUGUAUGAAGAAGGCCUUCGGGUUGUAAAGUACUUUCAGCGGGGAGGAAGGCGAUAAGGUUAAUAACCUUGUCGAUUGACGUUACCCGCAGAAGAAGCACCGGCUAACUCCGUGCCAGCAGCCGCGGUAAUACGGAGGGUGCAAGCGUUAAUCGGAAUUACUGGGCGUAAAGCGCACGCAGGCGGUCUGUCAAGUCGGAUGUGAAAUCCCCGGGCUCAACCUGGGAACUGCAUUCGAAACUGG